CAUUUGAGCUUUUCAAUUUGCAUUCUUUAGAGUCCCUGGGCAAUAGUGGGAUGCGAAGUCUUGUUAUACUAUUGGCUUUAUUAUCCAGCCCAUGAUUCACUGGAAAAUGUUGCAAUGACCUCUUGCACCAGCAACUAAUUCUUCUAAAAGAUGAAAGUUAUUUCUUCUCCUGGCACAGAUAUCAGAAUCUGCCUUCAAAGAAUGAUAUGGCAUUAAUAGUACAAGCUGCCCAACACUUCUAAAGGAGUAAAAGCAGCAAGACCAUUUUUUUCAAGUGUAUACACAAGCCAGCUGUAUUUUUUUUUAUCCUGUGCUUCAGAGGCAGAACAGUUUCCUCCUGCUACUCAGACAUAGCACAUGUUAGCAAUAAGUGAAUCAUAUUUAAGAUGGAGAAGAGAAGAAAAACAACUCUGACCGGAAGAUCGACCCAACUCCCAAAUCAAAAUUAAUCUACAAAAAACUUGGAUUCAUUCAGAAAACCUUUCACAACUAUGCUGGCUGCUCUUAACACAGAAGUGCGCAAGUACUUAUUCCGCUCUGUAUUGUGGACAGUAAAUGACCACUUGGAUAGAGAAGUGCUGUUUCUGCUGCCAUGAACAUUACUGUCUUCUAACUCGCUUCUGAACUACACUGCUGAGAUUACUUCUCCUGGAUGUUUUUGCUAUAUACCUGUUCCAGAAUGUCACCUUUAUUUCUGUGAAUUUCUGGUAAAAAUUAAUUAAUCUACGCAAGUUCAUUAGACAGUCAUAAUACCAAAUGAGGAGGUGAAGCAUCUGCACGUAUCCAUCAUUUUGACGUGAAAUGAUCUCCCUGUUACCAACUUUGCAAAGAGCUACAAAUCAAGUAGGCUCGUACUCUCAGCAUUCAUGAUUAUUAACCAGUUUGGAAGCCUUUAAACAUGCACGUCACAAGGACAGGAAGACUAAGAGGAUUUCCAGCUGAGCUAAAAUCCAAGUGGUCUGUCCAUAGGACUGAGUUGUGCAUAUGAAUUAUCUCAGUGACUUUACCAGGGUUUAUUCAUGUGCACAAAGCUGUUCACAGAACAAGAACAUUUGCACAUCUCGAGCCACAGUUACUUCUUCCCUACAGGGGAAUUAUAAAAAAGUUCAUAACCUUAACUGUGGCUGUACAGUGUGCCAAAAGCAAUGUGUUAUUUGCACACUGAUCGAUAAUAAUAAAUCAUAACAAGAAAAUCAAUUGUUUCUCUGAAUCAGGAUUAAGAACAUGAAAUAUUUGCAAAAAAAGCCACAAGCAGGGAAGAAAUGCUAACAGCAUAAGCAGAUGAACAAAUUAACACCAAGUAUUAUAAUGUCCUUCCCAGUUUCUAAUAGGAAGCAAAUAAAGUUAGAGAAAUAAUACAGGAACAACUUUUUCUGUCUCAAGUCUCUUCAGUAUUUAAAUUAGACUCAUAAGUUAAAUUAGAAAUGUUCUAUACUAGCUGGUGUUAAAAUCUAAUACUGUUUGCUGGUCAUAUGAAUGUAUUACCCAAUUCCAUUUGCAGCUUCACCAGUGGUCAUUAGUUUGUUUUAGGCAUACACUGUGGGAUUUUUACAUUAAAGCUAUUUAAAACAUAUACCUUUCCCUAUAAAGUUCAACAACUGAAAUAGUAUUUUGUAAGUACAACCUGCUGGAAUUACUUUUAACAUUAAUAUCCAGAAAAUUUACAAGCAUUUUUGUAAAAUUAUGGAGUUAUAAUUAACAAAAAUGAGACUAGACUAGUCAUUGUUUUGGGGAGAGAGUAUACUUGUACAUUUAAAUUUUAUCAGCAGUGUUCUAGUAUCUGCUCCUACUCCCUGUGUCUCUGCUUUGAUCAGAUUAUUGACAAAUGGCUUGUCAUUCUAACUGUUUUUUUCCAUUUAAAAUGAUAAACGAGAGAAAAAAAAUACAAAUAUUACUACAGUAUAGACUGUCUUGAGAACACUUGGCAAUAUGACUUAUGACAGUACAGUAUUCAGUGUACAAACUGUCUAGUUUUGAAAAGGCUUCAUAUAUACAUCGCCUCAAAUAUCCGGUGAAUAAACUACUCAUUAGAAAAUCACGUAAGGGUAUGUAGCUAUUUAAAAAAAUAGACACUGCAAGGUCUAGAUGGCAGUUGGUUUCCACUGAGAGCUCCAGAAUAUUGUGUAAGAACAGUCUGCAACAAUACAAGAUGAUCAUGUGAAAAAUCCCUAGGCAACCUCUGCUUGCUAGCAUAGCUUCCUCCCAUAUAUGUUGCUGAUUUUUUUUGAUGAUUGGGAAAGUUUAAGUACUUGUUUAUAAUCAAGAUUUUAAAAAAUAAACACAAAGAUGUAUUUUAUUUGCUUGGC